GCAAGCGUGUGUAAUGCACGCAAAACAGGAAGAUGGCUUGCAGGGUUAUUUCUCUUCCCGAAUGUAAGCCAAACUGAUUUCUCAUCAGUAAAGAGUUAAAAUAACACCCUUUGGUGUUUCCUGCACCGGUUUUCAUUGCAGCAUGUGAGUUUCGCAACCGCGAAAAUCUGGUUGCGAUAAUACAUAAGAAGAGAAAGACUUAAGAGUGAUGUGUACACAGUGACCUCAUGAACAGAAAAUAGACUGCCUGAACUUUAAAACAAGAUCAUUAACUACAGCCCAGAAAGCAGGGAUGAAGCACUACAGUCCGGAAUCUGGAACUCACCACUGAAUGAGCCCAUCUUGUCACAUACUUGAUGCGCAAGUAUUGCAGCUUUAAGAAUACAAGUUGUCUGGAGAGGUAGUCAUGUGACCAGCUUCAGUUUUCAGUAAAAGCUUGAAAUGAAA